ensembl:rRNA 5S_rRNA 5S ribosomal RNA
CGCAUCAACCUAUCAGGUCUACUUUGCCAGUUCACAUGGUCGCCUACUGAAGCUAAGCAGGGCUGCGCCCGGUCAGUACUUGGAUGGGAGACCACAUGGGAAAACUAAGUUGUUGCUGGAA